rnacentral:lncRNA from 1 species
GGUAACACGUGCCAUCAGUGUCGACAAAAGACCAUCGACACCAAGACAGUGUGUCGGAACCAGGGUUGCUGUGGUGUGCGAGGACAGUUCUGUGGACCAUGCCUGCGGAACCGCUAUGGGGAGGAUGUCAGAUCGGCAUUGCUGGACCCGGAUUGGGUGUGUCCCCCCUGUCGUGGGAUCUGCAAUUGCAGCUACUGUCGGAAGCGUGACGGCCGCUGUGCCACAGGAAUCCUCAUUCAUCUGGCCAAGUUUUAUGGUUAUGACAAUGUUAAGGAAUAUCUGGAGAGGUAAGUAAGUCUCUAGCAGCUUACAAAACAGCUUGAAAUCUUGAGGCUGAGCACAGGAGACCCUCUGGGCAAGUAGUUGUUGCCUUCCCGUGUGACUUACUUACUUAUAUAAACCACGAGUACCAUCCAUUCUGUAUCUGUUUGCAUUGGAAAAGCUCAGGCCUGAUAUUUUCCCUAUUAGGGAAUCUUCUCCUUUGCUAGAUUUUUCAACUCAACUCCACGUUGCCUUUAACCAAAAUUUCUCCUUGAGGUGUAUGACAGAAAUGGAAGGAACAAACAAACAAGGCAGGCUGAGGGGAAAGACACAGAUUAUGAAGAGGCAGC